rnacentral:rRNA from 1 species
AUUGAACGCUGGCGGCAGGCCUAACACAUGCAAGUCGAACGAGUGGCGGACGGGUGAGUAAUGUCUGGGAAACUGCCUGAUGGAGGGGGAUUACUACUGGAAACGGUAGCUAAUACCGCAUACCCACGAAUGUGUCCCGAUGGGAUUAGCUAGUAGGUUGGGUAACGGCUCACCUAGGCGACGAUCCCUAGCUGGUCUGAGAGGAUGACCAGCCACACUGGAAAUGAGACACGGUCCAGACGCCUACGGGAGGCAGCAGUGGGGAAUAUUGCACAAUGGGCGCAAGCCUGAUGCAGCCAUGCCGCGUGUAUGAAGAAGGCCUUCGGGUUGUAAAGUACUGUCAGCGGGGAGGCGUUACCCGCAGAAGAAGCACCGGCUAACUCCGUGCCAGCAGCCGCGGUAAUUC